UUUAAUAACGUUUUAAUAAUAGUAACUUUAUUAAGUCCGUAUACAAAUAAAAUACAAAAAUAUGCAACAAACAAUAAAUAAGUUGCAAUAUACAAUAAAUUGUGCUGGGCAUAUGAGGUUGAUUUACCACCUGAGGAGCAUAAAUUCUCUUCAGAGUUCUGGGAGAGAGAGAGAGAGAGAGAGAGAGAGAGAGAGAGAAACAAGUGAAGAACAACGCCCACGCACAGUGAUUACAUCGACUGCAUUUAUGUGAAUACUCACCAAUGCGGGCAUUUUGACAGUGUGUGUAUUUGACCGUUUAGACGCGCAACCGAAGACCAAGGCUACUAUGCUCGUCCAUGUUCCACUCGGAGCGAGCGCACAGAAACUUCCUGUCAGAAGCGGAUUCAGUUCUCUUUCGCAGCUUUGCCUUUCCUUUUUAAUAUCAAGCACGUCCCUCUCUUUACUUUCUCAUUCAUUCAUGUUUCUUUAUUAAUAACGCCAACAGUCGCGCCCACUGAAAGCUGCGCAGAUUAUCAUACAGACAACACAUUUUAGGACAUAAAGGUCUAUGCGGAAAAAGCGAAAGUAACCGGUGAAAUGUUUCGAAAUGUCUCUUGGCACAGCAGAGCACCGGUUUCAAUAAAAGAUUCUUGCUCUGCACGUAAAGGGAUGCAACACUGCUGAAUAUGAGACGCUUUCUGAUUCAGAACCAGAGCUGACUAAUCUACCUCCUGAUUCACCUGAUUUACCUCCUGUUACUGAAGAAAAGUCCAGUUGGCCUUCUAAGCCCUGAUAUAAUGGAGCCACAAAAAGAAGAAAUGUCAUGUGAAGAGGAUGUACUGCGAUGGCUUGCUGCUCAAGUUGACACCUCCAAAGAAUUCAGUAUCUGUGUGUCUAGAAUGAACCUCUUAGAAAGAGGUAUGUCACUGUGGAAGCGACAAAAGCUUAGCUCCCCAAUCCACACUUUAAAGAUGACAUUCAUGGGAGAGGCUGGAGUCAACACAGGCACUCUCUGUAAAGAAUUCCUGAGAGAAAUGAUUAGUAGCAUAGAGACACGGCUCUUUGAAGGAGAAGAUGGUCAAGGAAAAAUGCCUAAGUACUCAUUAAAUGACCUUGACAAUGGCCUGUUUCGAGUUGCUGGGGAAAUAUUUGCCUUAAGUCUCACACAAGGUGGUCCAGCUCCACGAUUUCUACAGGAGUGGUGUUACAAUUACCUAUUAAGUGGAAACCUUGAAAACAUCAUGAUGGAUAAUGUUAAUGACAUGGAAUUUUCACCACUGAUAAAAAUGGCAUAUCUGAAAACAAUUUGUAAUUAUGUAGUUUUCUAUUGCCAUGCACCUUUUAUGAAUGUUUCAAGAAAAUCUAAAAUUCUUUCUAGAUCAAGGAGACUUCAGACCUGUCGAAUUACUGUGAGCAAAUUACGAGCUGUGCCCUAUAAAUGACCAAAACAAGGAGAAUAUAAAGAGGGCAAUUGCAAUGCAUGCCACUGCUCGAAGAACUCUUAUGCUUCAGCAGCUCCGUGAGGGCCUCCAACUUUACCGUCUAGUGGACAUCAUGGAGAAGAACAAAGAAGUGUGCCGUGGUCUCUUUGUUUUUGAAGGUGGCAAUGAUCAGGUGGACUCUCAUUACAUUGUGUCACAUCUUGACCCACAAAUGAGUGAGAGUGGCACUCUAAAGCACAGCAAAGAAAUGCAAAUCUUGAAUAACUUCAAGGAUUUUCUAAUGGAACUUGAAGAUGGAGAUUCUGAGGAUGAGGAGGCACUUUCUGUGUCAAAAGUAAUGCAGUGGCUGUCUGGUCAAGCACACAGACAUCUGCUUCUUUCAGAGAGGCAAGCUUUUAAAAUCACUGUUCUGUUUGACCAUACAUGCAUGGAAUGUAUGCCAGACCACAGAAUUUGCUACCCUGUUGUCAGUGCAUGCACCCAGACAAUCACAUUUCCCACUGCACAUUUAACAAGUUUAAAUGAAUUUUAAAAAAAAAAACAUGAAAAUUGCAGUGCAACAGGGAGCUUACUUUUACAGGGUUUACAACAGAUUUGUUAAUACACUCUUACGUCCUUUUAAUUGUUUAAUUUGUAAGUUUUUUAAUGUUAGAAGUCAAAUGUUAGUAAAGCACAGUCUUUGAAUAAUAUCAAGUGACUGGACAUAGAGCUCUCUGUAGUUCAGUGAUGAUGUCAGGGGAUCAAUUAAUCCCUGCAGAACAGCAAGGCUCUGUUCAGAUAAAGGGCAUUGGAUCUCUGGAACCACCACACCAUCUUCUGGGUCAGUAUCAGAAGUUUGCUGUUGACACAGUUGCUCGAUUAUCUGCAAAAUCAAAGAAACAUUAAGUAGGUCAAAAUGCCAACUGUUUUGAAAUAUUGUCAAUGACUUGUAUCCAUGUUGUUAUAAACUCAUGUAACUUU